rnacentral:rRNA from 1 species
UACGAAGGGGGCUAGCGUUGUUCGGAAUUACUGGGCGUAAAGCGCGCGCAGGCGGUCCUUCAAGUCAGAGGUGAAAGCCCAGAGCUCAACUCUGGAAUGGCCUUUGAGACUAGAGGACUUGGGUACGGGAGAGGUGAGUGGAAUUCCGAGUGUAGAGGUGAAAUUCGUAGAUAUUCGCAAGAACACCAGUGGCGAAGGCGGCUCACUGGCCCGGAUACGUGACGCUGAGGUGCGAAAGCGUGGGGAGCAAACAGG